rnacentral:rRNA from 1 species
AACGUAGGUGGCAAGCGUUAUCCGGAAUUACUGGGCGUAAAGGGUGUGCAGGCGGGGGUGCAAGUGGGGGAUGAAAUAUCCCAGCUUAACUGGGAGGGGUUAUGCCAGACUGCAACUCUAGAGGACGAGAGAGGGGGGUGGAAUUCCGGGUGUAGUGGUGAAAUGCGUAGAGAUCCGGAGGAACCCCAGAGGCGAAGGCGGCCCCCUGGCUCGUACCUGACGCUCAGCCACGAAAGCAUGGGGAGCGAACGGG